GGUAGCGUGGCCGAGUUGGUCUAAGGCGUUGGAUUUAAGAAAAGGGUUUCCCUCCUUGCUUCCCAAUGAAGGUGACUUCGCGCGAGUUCGAAUCUCGCCGCUACCA
rnacentral:tRNA from 1 species